GCGGCUAUGGCGAAACUGGCAGUACGCGCCAGAUUUAGGAUCUGGUCUUCGGGUGAGGGUUCAAAUCCCUCUAGCCGCA
rnacentral:tRNA from 1 species